GAUGAAGAACGCAGCGAAAUGCGAUAAGUAGUGUGAAUUGCAGAAUUCAGUGAAUCAUCGAAUCUUUGAACGCACAUUGCGCCCCUUGGUAUUCCAUGGGGCAUGCCUGUUCGAGCGUCAUUUGUACCUUCAAGCUCUGCUUGGUGUUGGGUGUUUGUCUCGCCUCUGCGUGUAGACUCGCCUCAAAACAAUUGGCAGCCAGCGUAUUGAUUUCGGAGCGCAGUACAUCUCGCGCUUUGCACUCAUAACGACGACGUCCAAAAGUACAUUUUUACACUCUUGACCUCGGAUCAGGUAGGGAUACCCGCUGAACUUAAGCAUAUCAAUAAGCGGAGGA
rnacentral:misc_RNA from 1 species